rnacentral:lncRNA from 1 species
UCGGGAGACGCCCAUUAGCUACCAUCACACUGGGAUCAUAGCUUCCAACACCGUUCAUCAGGUGUGUGUUGAGUCGGGAGACGCCCAUUAGCUACCACACACGGGAAUCAUAGCUUCCACACCAGUUCAUCAGGGUUGUGUUUGAGAGUCGGGAGACGCCCAUUAGCUACCAUCACGCUGGGAAUCAUAGCUUCCACACCAGUUCAUCAGGGUGUGUGUUGAGUCGGGAGACGCCCAGUAGCUACCAUC